rnacentral:rRNA from 1 species
UACGUAGGGGGCAAGCGUUGUCCGGAUUUAUUGGGCGUAAAGAGCGUGUAGGCGGCUAUACAGGUCCGUUGUGAAAACCCGAGGCUCAACCUCGGGCCUGCAGUGGGUACGGGCAGACUAGAGUGCGGUAGGGGAGAUUGGAAUUCCUGGUGUAGCGGUGGAAUGCGCAGAUAUCAGGAGGAACACCAAUGGCGAAGGCAGAUCUCUGGGCCGAUACUGACGCUGAGGAGCGAAAGCGUGGGGAGCGAACAGG